AUCACCCUGCAGUGCUUUUCUCUUCUCCCCCUCCCCGUGCCCAGUCCCACACCUGAUGUCUCUGUCCCUCCCCAGUCCUACCGCCCUUAGUGUUAUCAGUGCAGCCUUGGUGCAGGGGAUGAGCCAACAUUUCUGCCACUUUCCUAGAUGGAGUAAUGGGCCCUGGCUCCCUUGGUCUCAUCCAGAGCUGGACAUGUAUCCACGUUACAAAGGCACUGAUAUCUGGAUUCCCAUUGGGCUCAAACCAAAUGGUCUCCAAGAGCUGCUCAUCUCCUCUUGUAGGCUGGGCCCAUUUCCAAGGGCACCCUACAAAGAUCAAAUUGC
rnacentral:lncRNA from 1 species